rnacentral:rRNA from 1 species
UGCUGAAUUAUUCGCCAAUGCGCGAAAGCGUGACGGUGCGACGCCGCGUGCAGGAUGAAGGUCUUCGGAUCGUAAACUGCUGUCAGAAUACAAAAAACGAUGGACGUUAAUAGCGGCCAUCUUGAUUCUAUUCAGAGGAAGCACAGGCUAAUCUCGUGCCAGCAGCCGCGGUAAUACGAGGUGUGCGAGCGUUGCUCGGAAUCACUGGGCUUAAAGCGUACGUAGGCGGGGAGGCAAGUCAGGGGUGAAAUUCCACAGCUUAACUGUGGCAUUGCUUUUGAUACUAUCUCUCUUGAGGAUGAAAGGGGUGACUGGAAUUCCAGGUGUAGCGGUGGAAUGCGUUGAUAUCUGGGAGAACGCCAAAGGCGAAGGCAGGUCACUGGGUCAUUUCUGACGCUGAGUGUACGAAAGUUAGGGGAUCAAACA